rnacentral:rRNA from 1 species
GACAGAGGGUGCAAACGUUGCUCGGAAUUACUGGGCGUAAAGCGCGUGUAGGCUGACCGGAAAGUCGGGCGUGAAAUCCCUGGGCUCAACCCAGGAACUGCACUCGAAACUCCCGGUCUUGAGUGGUGGAGAGGGAAGUGGAAUUCCUAGUGUAGAGGUGAAAUUCGUAGAUAUCAGGAGGAACACCAGUGGCGAAGGCGGCUUCCUGGACACCAACUGACGCUGAGACGCGAAAGCGUGGGGAGCAAACAGG